rnacentral:rRNA from 1 species
GACGAACGCUGGCGGCGUGCUUAACACAUGCAAGUCGAACGAAGAGCGACGGAAGCUUGCUUCUAUCAAUCUUAGUGGCGCACGGGUGAGUAACGCGUAAUCAACCUGCCCUUCAGAGGGGGACAACAGUUGGAAACGACUGCUAAUACCGCAUACGAUCUAACCUCGGCAUCGAGGAUAGAUGAAAGGUGGCCUCUACAUGUAAGCUAUCACUGAAGGAGGGGAUUGCGUCUGAUUAGCUAGUUGGAGGGGUAACGGCCCACCAAGGCGAUGAUCAGUAGCCGGUCUGAGAGGAUGAACGGCCACAUUGGGACUGAGACACGGCCCAGACUCCUACGGGAGGCAGCAGUGGGGAAUCUUCCGCAAUGGACGAAAGUCUGACGGAGCAACGCCGCGUGAGUGAUGACGGCCUUCGGGUUGUAAAGCUCUGUUAAUCGGGACGAAAGGCCUUCUUGCGAAUAGUGAGAAGGAUUGACGGUACCGGAAUAGAAAGCCAUGGCUAACUACGUG